rnacentral:rRNA from 1 species
CCUACGGGGGGCUGCAGUGGGGAAUAUUGGACAAUGGGGGGAACCCUGAUCCAGCCAUGCCGCGUGUGUGAAGAAGGCCCUCGGGUUGUAAAGCACUUUCAGUGAGGAAGAACGCCUGGUGGUUAAUACCCAUCAGGAAAGACAUCACUCACAGAAGAAGCACCGGCUAACUCCGUGCCAGCAGCCGCGGUAAUACGGAGGGUGCGAGCGUUAAUCGGAAUUACUGGGCGUAAAGCGCGCGUAGGUGGCUUGAUAAGCCGGUUGUGAAAGCCCCGGGCUCAACCUGGGAACGGCAUCCGGAACUGUCAAGCUAGAGUGCAGGAGAGGAAGGUAGAAUUCCCGGUGUAGCGGUGAAAUGCGUAGAGAUCGGGAGGAAUACCAGUGGCGACGGCGGCCUUCUGGACUGACACUGACACUGAGGUGCGAAAGCGUGGGUAGCAAACAGGAUUAGAUACCCUAGUAGUC